UGAGGAAUAUUGGUCAAUGGGCGCAAGCCUGAACCAGCCAUGCCGCGUGCAGGAAGAAUGCCCUAUGGGUUGUAAACUGCUUUUAUCAGGGAAUAAACCUCAAUACGUGUAUUGAGCUGAAGGUACCUGAUGAAUAAGCACCGGCUAACUCCGUGCCAGCAGCCGCGGUAAUACGGAGGGUGCAAGCGUUAUCCGGAAUCAUUGGGUUUAAAGGGUCCGCAGGCGGAUUUAUAAGUCAGUGGUGAAAGCCUGCAGCUCAACUGCAGAACUGCCAUUGAUACUGUAAGUCUUGAAUUCGGUCGAAGUGGGCGGAAUAUGACAUGUAGCGGUGAAAUGCUUAGAUAUGUCAUAGAACACCGAAAGCGAAGGCAGCUCACUAGGCCUGGAUUGACGCUCAGGGACGAAAGCGUGGGGAGCAAACA
rnacentral:rRNA from 1 species